rnacentral:rRNA from 1 species
GGCCUUUUGAAUUUAAUAUAAGGUCUGACCUGCCCAGUGAUAGUUUUAACGGCCGCGGUAUACUGACCGUGCAAAGGUAGCAUAAUCAUUAGUCUUUUAAUAGAGGGCUGGAAUGAAAGGUUUCACGAGGAACUGACUGUCUCAUUUUAUUUGUUUUAAAAUUUAAUUUUUUAGUUAAAAAGCUAAAAUUUUAUUGGUAGACGAGAAGACCCUAUAGAGCUUUACAUAUAAUUAAAUAAAUAUUUUUAUAUUAAUAUUUUUAUUUAUUUUUGUGUUUUGUUGGGGUGACAAAAAUAUAUAACUAACUUUUUUAUUUACUUUACAUUGAUUUAUGAAUAUUAGAUCCAAUAUUAUUGAUUAUUAGACUAAGUUACCUUAGGGAUAACAGCGUAAUCCUCCUCCAGAGUUCAUAUUUACAGGAUGGGCUUGCGACCUCGAUGUUGGAUUAAGAUAAUAAUUAGGUGUAGCCGCUUAAUUGAUAGGUCUGUUCGACCUUUAAAUUCUU